UCUCCGUAGGUGAACCUGCGGAGGGAUCAUUACAGAGUUCAUGCCCUUACGGGUAGAUCUCCCACCCUGUGUUAUUAUUACCUUUGUUGCUUUGGCGGGCCGUCCGGCGUCGGCCAGGCUACCGGCUCCGGCUGGUAAGCGCCCGCCAGAGGACCUAAAACCCUGAAUGUUAGUGUCGUCUGAGUACUAUAUAAUAGUUAAAACUUUCAACAACGGAUCUCUUGGUUCUG
rnacentral:misc_RNA from 1 species